rnacentral:ncRNA from 1 species
UUUUGAUCAUAUGACUGGCGGAAAUGGAGUUUACCAUAGGGAGUAUGAUUGAUUAAAUUAUCGACCGCCUGGGUAAAUUAU